rnacentral:rRNA from 1 species
GGUUAAGCGACUAAGCGUACACGGUGGAUGCCCUGGCAGUCAGAGGCGAUGAAGGACGUGCUAAUCUGCGAUAAGCGUCGGUAAGGUGAUAUGAACCGUUAUAACCGGCGAUUUCCGAAUGGGGAAACCCAGUGUGUUUCGACACACUAUCAUUAACUGAAUCCAUAGGUUAAUGAGGCGAACCGGGGGAACUGAAACAUCUAAGUACCCCGAGGAAAAGAAAUCAACCGAGAUUCCCCCAGUAGCGGCGAGCGAACGGGGAGGAGCCCAGAGCCUGAAUCAGUGUGUGUGUUAGUGGAAGCGUCUGGAAAGGCGCGCGAUACAGGGUGACAGCCCCGUACACAAAAAUGCACAUAUUGUGAGCUCGAUGAGUAGGGCGGGACACGUGGUAUCCUGUCUGAAUAUGGGGGGACCAUCCUCCAAGGCUAAAUACUCCUGACUGACCGAUAGUGAACCAGUACCGUGAGGGAAAGGCGAAAAGAACCCCGGCGAGGGGAGUGAAAAAGAACCUGAAACCGUGUACGUACAAGCAGUGGGAGCCUCUUAAUGGGGUGACUGCGUACCUUUUGUAUAAUGGGUCAGCGACUUAUAUUCUGUAGCAAGGUUAACCGAAUAGGGGAGCCGAAGGGAAACCGAGUCUUAACUGGGCGUUAAGUUGCAGGGUAUAGACCCGAAACCCGGUGAUCUAGCCAUGGGCAGGUUGAAGGUUGGGUAACACUAACUGGAGGACCGAACCGACUAAUGUUGAAAAAUUAGCGGAUGACUUGUGGCUGGGGGUGAAAGGCCAAUCAAACCGGGAGAUAGCUGGUUCUCCCCGAAAGCUAUUUAGGUAGCGCCUCGUGAAUUCAUCUCCGGGGGUAGAGCACUGUUUCGGCAAGGGGGUCAUCCCGACUUACCAACCCGAUGCAAACUGCGAAUACCGGAGAAUGUUAUCACGGGAGACACACGGCGGGUGCUAACGUCCGUCGUGAAGAGGGAAACAACCCAGACCGCCAGCUAAGGUCCCAAAGUCAUGGUUAAGUGGGAAACGAUGUGGGAAGGCCCAGACAGCCAGGAUGUUGGCUUAGAAGCAGCCAUCAUUUAAAGAAAGCGUAAUAGCUCACUGGUCGAGUCGGCCUGCGCGGAAGAUGUAACGGGGCUAAACCAUGCACCGAAGCUGCGGCAGCGACACUAUGUGUUGUUGGGUAGGGGAGCGUUCUGUAAGCCUGUGAAGGUGGCCUGUGAGGGUUGCUGGAGGUAUCAGAAGUGCGAAUGCUGACAUAAGUAACGAUAAAGCGGGUGAAAAGCCCGCUCGCCGGAAGACCAAGGGUUCCUGUCCAACGUUAAUCGGGGCAGGGUGAGUCGACCCCUAAGGCGAGGCCGAAAGGCGUAGUCGAUGGGAAACAGGUUAAUAUUCCUGUACUUGGUGUUACUGCGAAGGGGGGACGGAGAAGGCUAUGUUGGCCGGGCGACGGUUGUCCCGGUUUAAGCGUGUAGGCUGGUUUUCCAGGCAAAUCCGGAAAAUCAAGGCUGAGGCGUGAUGACGAGGCACUACGGUGCUGAAGCAACAAAUGCCCUGCUUCCAGGAAAAGCCUCUAAGCAUCAGGUAACAUCAAAUCGUACCCCAAACCGACACAGGUGGUCAGGUAGAGAAUACCAAGGCGCUUGAGAGAACUCGGGUGAAGGAACUAGGCAAAAUGGUGCCGUAACUUCGGGAGAAGGCACGCUGAUAUGUAGGUGAAGCGACUUGCUCGUGGAGCUGAAAUCAGUCGAAGAUACCAGCUGGCUGCAACUGUUUAUUAAAAACACAGCACUGUGCAAACACGAAAGUGGACGUAUACGGUGUGACGCCUGCCCGGUGCCGGAAGGUUAAUUGAUGGGGUUAGCGCAAGCGAAGCUCUUGAUCGAAGCCCCGGUAAACGGCGGCCGUAACUAUAACGGUCCUAAGGUAGCGAAAUUCCUUGUCGGGUAAGUUCCGACCUGCACGAAUGGCGUAAUGAUGGCCAGGCUGUCUCCACCCGAGACUCAGUGAAAUUGAACUCGCUGUGAAGAUGCAGUGUACCCGCGGCAAGACGGAAAGACCCCGUGAACCUUUACUAUAGCUUGACACUGAACAUUGAGCCUUGAUGUGUAGGAUAGGUGGGAGGCUUUGAAGUGUGGACGCCAGUCUGCAUGGAGCCGACCUUGAAAUACCACCCUUUAAUGUUUGAUGUUCUAACGUUGACCCGUAAUCCGGGUUGCGGACAGUGUCUGGUGGGUAGUUUGACUGGGGCGGUCUCCUCCUAAAGAGUAACGGAGGAGCACGAAGGUUGGCUAAUCCUGGUCGGACAUCAGGAGGUUAGUGCAAUGGCAUAAGCCAGCUUGACUGCGAGCGUGACGGCGCGAGCAGGUGCGAAAGCAGGUCAUAGUGAUCCGGUGGUUCUGAAUGGAAGGGCCAUCGCUCAACGGAUAAAAGGUACUCCGGGGAUAACAGGCUGAUACCGCCCAAGAGUUCAUAUCGACGGCGGUGUUUGGCACCUCGAUGUCGGCUCAUCACAUCCUGGGGCUGAAGUAGGUCCCAAGGGUAUGGCUGUUCGCCAUUUAAAGUGGUACGCGAGCUGGGUUUAGAACGUCGUGAGACAGUUCGGUCCCUAUCUGCCGUGGGCGCUGGAGAACUGAGGGGGGCUGCUCCUAGUACGAGAGGACCGGAGUGGACGCAUCACUGGUGUUCGGGUUGUCAUGCCAAUGGCACUGCCCGGUAGCUAAAUGCGGAAGAGAUAAGUGCUGAAAGCAUCUAAGCACGAAACUUGCCCCGAGAUGAGUUCUCCCUGACUCCUUGAGAGUCCUGAAGGAACGUUGAAGACGACGACGUUGAUAGGCCGGGUGUGUAAGCGCAGCGAUGCGUUGAGCUAACCGGUACUAAUGAACCGUGAGGCUUAACCUU